rnacentral:tRNA from 2 species
GCAGAUGUGGUGAAACGGUAACACGACUGCGGACGCAUAAUUGUCAAGCUUUUGUAUUCGGCUUAUGCAAUAGAGCGCCUGCCGUGAUUCUGCAGGUUCGACCCCUGCCAUCUGCC